rfam:Caulobacter sp. K31, complete genome.
CGCUGAUGAGGUGAGAACUCCCUCCUCACACACUCCGCUUCGGCGGCGUAAAGUAGGCGAAAGCCGAAAGAGAUGCGGGAAUGUUGGGACCCCGCCAUCAGCG